UUCCUACGGGGGGCUGCAGUCGAGAAUCUUCGGCAAUGGGCGCAAGCCUGACCGAGCGACGCCGCGUGUGGGAUGAAGGCCCUUGGGUUGUAAACCACUGUCAGAGGGGAUGAAAUGCCAGCCAGCAAUCUGGUUGGUUUGACAUAGCCUCAGAGGAAGCACGGGCUAAGUUCGUGCCAGCAGCCGCGGUAAUACGAACUGUGCAAACGUUAUUCGGAAUCACUGGGCUUACAGGGUGCGUAGGCGGCUUGCUAAGUAGGGUGUGAAAUCCCCCGGCUUAACCGGGGAACUGCGCCCUAAACUGGCGAGCUGGAGUGAGACAGGGGUGUGUGGAACUUCCGGUGGAGCGGUGAAAUGUGUUGAUAUCGGAAGGAACGCCGGUGGCGAAAGCGACACACUGGGUCUUGUCUGACGCUGAGGCACGAAAGCCAGGGGAGCGAACGGGAUUAGAUACCCGGGUAGUCGU
rnacentral:rRNA from 1 species